GGAUUAAUUUAUUGGUCGUGCUAUUGUACGUACUGGUAUUAUUGAUUCCUACCUUCUGACGAACCGUCAUGUCAUUAAUUUGGUGUGGCGGGGAAUCAGGACUGUUACUUUGAAAAAAUUAGAGUGUUUAAAGCAGGCUCACGCUUGAAUACAUUAGCAUGGAAUAACGAAAUAGGACGU
rnacentral:rRNA from 1 species